AGAUAAUAGAUACCCGGGUAGUCCAUGCCGUAAACGUUGGGCACUAGGUGUGGGGGACAUUCCACGUUUUCCGCGCCGUAGCUAAACGCAUUAAGUGCCCCGCCUGGGGAGUACGGCCGCAAGGCUAAAACUCAAAGGAAUUGACGGGGGCCCGCACAAGCGGCGGAGCAUGCGGAUUAAUUCGAUGCAACGCGAAGAACCUUACCAAGGCUUGACAUGAACCGGAAAGAUCUGGAAACAGGUCCCCCACUUGUGGUCGGUUUACAGGUGGUGCAUGGUUGUCGUCAGCUCGUGUCGUGAGAUGUUGGGUUAAGUCCCGCAACGAGCGCAACCCUCGUUCUAUGUUGCCAGCACGUGAUGGUGGGGACUCAUAGGAGACUGCCGGGGUCAACUCGGAGGAAGGUGGGGACGACGUCAAAUCAUCAUGCCCCUUAUGUCUUGGGCUCCACGCAUGCUACAAUGGCCGGUACAAAGGGUUGCGAUACUGUGAGGUGGAGCUAAUCCCAAAAAGCCGGUCUCAGUUCGGAUUGGGGUCUGCAACUCGACCCC
rnacentral:rRNA from 1 species